CCUACGGGAGGCAGCAGUGGGGAAUAUUGGACAAUGGGCGCAAGCCUGAUCCAUCCAUGCCGCGUGAGUGAAGAAGGCCUUCGGGUUGUAAAGCUCUUUCGUCCGGAAAGAAAUCGUGUUGGUUAACAUACGGCGUGGAUGACGGUACCUGACGAAUAAGCACCGGCUAACUUCGUGCCAGCAGCCGCGGUAAUACGUAGGGUGCGAGCGUUAAUCGGAAUUACUGGGCGUAAAGCGUGCGUAGGCGGCCUGGUAAGUCAGAUGUGAAAGCCCUGGGCUCAACCUGGGAAUGGCAUUUGAGACUGCAAGGCUAGAGUGCGGUAGAGGGAGGUGGAAUUCCCGGUGUAGCAGUGAAAUGCGUAGAGAUCGGGAGGAACAUCGAUGGCGAAGGCAGCCACCUGGGCCAGCACUGACGCUGAGGCACGAAAGCGUGGGGAGCAAACAGGA
rnacentral:rRNA from 1 species